AGUUGUCAGCUGGGAAGGAGACGGAGCUUGGUCUGCCUGGGCCCUUGAUUUCCUCAUCUUGAAGCCUUCCCUUUGGGAAUUCCUGCACAUGGGCUGAUUGCUUUUACAAGGGCCGAGGCCAGAGCAGAUCGAUCCUAUAGAUGUGACCGACAUGAUCCUGCAAAUCUGGGAGGCCAGAAGCGAGUUACAUCUCUGUAUGUUUUGCAUGCUGAGAGAACGAAGGCCCAUAUGUGGAGUGCUGGGUUUCAAACCAGAUGUGCCAGAGAAAUUGGAUUCAGAACUUAGAGCUACAAAUAAAACAGGAAAUGGAUUGA